ACUCUUUUAGAGAAAUAAAACGAAGAUGCAAAAUCAUCCCAUUCCAAUCCCAUUCCAAAACACACGUAUACUCCCUCAUAUGCCCUUUUUUUUUAUAAAAAUCUUCAAAUAUAUAGUAUCAAAGAAAAACUCUCAUUCUCUCCAGAGAGAAUUUCCGUCGGCUAUCUCAAAAUCAAAACACAACAUUGAACAGGAAUUAGAGCUCCCACCUUCAAGCUCUCGUCGAUCCCUUUUUCUCACACAACAUCGAAAACGAGAUUCCCAAAAUUGAACACACCCAAUUUUCUAAAAAAAUCCGUCAGAUCAGAUGGUGGUGCGGUGACACCGCCGAUGAGCUCCGCCGCCGGCAGCCUUCAGUCACCACUGCUGUUCGCCGUCGUCGUAGGCUGCUGUCCCAAGGUACUUCAUCGUGGCCUCUGUUUGGCAGCCCCGAUUCGCCUCGACCAACCCCGCAAGCUAAGUUCUAAAUUUGAUUUCAUGAAUUAAAGUUCGAUUCUUUGGUUUAGAUUUGUUCGAAUUAUCGAUUUGCUUCGGUUACUGGUUUCAUGAGAUGCACAAGAAUGGAAUAGGAAUUGGGUGGAUGAGAUGAGGAAUCAAAACUCUUGCUUCAACACUUUGCCUUCGGCUGAGAAUUGAGAGAAGGCGGUUGGAGGAGCAGAAUGGGGUAGAAAUACCGUGUAUUGCAGACGAAAUUGUGGUAACUGAUUCUAAUAAUAAUUGGAAUUAUAGGCUGAUUGGUGGUCUAGAUUUGGAAGAGAUUCACGAAGUGGGAUACGAUUUUUCUGAAAGUGGGAAAGGAGUAAUUUUGGUGUUUGAUUGCUCAAUUAAUUUGGGAUUAAUUGCUUUGACUGAAUUUUAAAAUUUGAAAAGAUGUUUCAUUGCAGAAAGGAGGAUUCAACGUGAAGGGUGAGGAGAAGGGUUCUGAUGGCGGAAGGAAGAAUUUAGAGUCUUGGGCUCAAAAGGAAUUGGGAUUGGGCUAGGGAUAUUAUUUGAAUAAGUAUUAGUUUGGGCUCAAGACCCUAUUAAAAUUUUAUUUAAAUACUGUAGCCCACAAUUUAUUCUUUAUUAGAUUGGACUUGUAUCAAUUAUUUAAUUCA